rnacentral:rRNA from 1 species
AAGUCGUAACAAGGUCUCCGUAGGUGAACCUGCGGAGGGAUCAUUACCGAGAGAGGGCCGUCAAAACGCCCGACCUCCCAACCCUUUGUCAAACCAAACCACGUUGCCUCGGGGGGCGUCUCGUCGAUCCUCCGGCGAGCACCCCCAGAGGACCAACAAACUCUGCGUCUUUGCGUCGGAGUAUUGAAAACAAAUCAAUCAAAACUUUCAACAACGGAUCUCUUGGUUCUGGCAUCGAUGAAGAACGCAGCGAAAUGCGAUAAGUAAUGUGAAUUGCAGAAUUCAGUGAAUCAUCGAAUCUUUGAACGCACAUUGCGCCCUUUGGCAUUCCGAGGGGCAUGCCCGUUCGAGCGUCAUUUCACCAAUCAAGCCUGGCUUGGUAUUAGGCGAGGAGUUCGCGCUCCCGCCCCUAAGUCCUCGGCUGGACGGUUAGAUUCUCAGCGUUGUGGUUUAUUCAAUUCGCUGCGGGAGACGACCGGUCGCGCCGUUAAACACUUAUUGCAGGUUGACCUCGGAUCGGGUAGGGAUACCCGCUGAACUUAA